UACGGGGGGGGCAAGCGUUGUUCGGAAUUACUGGGCGUAAAGGGCUCGUAGGCGGCCAACUAAGUCAGACGUGAAAUCCCUCGGCUUAACCGGGGAACUGCGUCUGAUACUGGAUGGCUUGAGAUUGGGAGAGGGAUGCGGAAUUCCAGGUGUAGCGGUGAAAUGCGUAGAUAUCUGGAGGAACACCGGUGGCGAAGGCGGCAUCCUGGGGCUUUGCUGACGCUGAUGCGCGAAAGCGUGGGGAGCGAUCCGG
rnacentral:rRNA from 1 species